UAUAUAUAUAUAUAUAUUGUGUAUUGACGUUCGCAUACGAAAACAUAUGCAUUGCAAAAACGUAGAUAUUAUCUCGUUGCCGAAAUAAUAAUAAUAUACAUCUAAAAAUAUAUUUAUAUGCUAUAUAUAGGUAUAUAUAUAUUUUAAAUAGAAGUUGAAUCAAAGCUUUGAUUACACGUUUCGUUUGUU